CGUGUAGGUGGUUAGAUAAGUCAGAUGUGAAAGCUUCCGGCUUAACCGGAAAACUGCAUUUGAAACUGUUUAGCUUGAGUGCGAGAGAGGGUAGCGGAAUUCCCAGCGUAGCGGUGAAAUGCGUAGAUAUUGGGAAGAACACCAGUAGCGAAGGCGGCUACCUGGCUCGCAACUGACGCUAAUGCGCGAAAGCGUGGGGAGCAAACA
rnacentral:rRNA from 1 species